CUAGAGUUUGAUCAUGGCUCAGAUUGAACGACAUGCAAGUCGAGCGGGGAAAGGUAGCUUGCUACCUGACCUAGCGGCGGACGGGUGAGUAAUGCUUAGGAAUCUGCCUAUUAGUGGGGGACAACAUUCCGAAAGGAAUGCUAAUACCGCAUACGCCCUACGGGGGAAAGCAGGGGAUCUUCGGACCUUGCGCUAAUAGAUGAGCCUAAGUCAGAUUAGCUAGUUGGUGGGGUAAAGGCCUACCAAGGCGACGAUCUGUAGCGGGUCUGAGAGGAUGAUCCGCCACACUGGGACUGAGACACGGCCCAGACUCCUACGGGAGGCAGCAGUGGGGAAUAUUGGACAAUGGGCGAAAGCCUGAUCCAGCCAUGCCGCGUGUGUGAAGAAGGCCUUUUGGUUGUAAAGCACUUUAAGCGAGGAGGAGGCUACUUAGAUUAAUACUCUAGGAUAGUGGACGUUACUCGCAGAAUAAGCACCGGCUAACUCUGUGCCAGCAGCCGCGGUAAUACAGAGGGUGCGAGCGUUAAUCGGAUUUACUGGGCGUAAAGCGUGCGUAGGCGGCUUUUUAAGUCGGAUGUGAAAUCCCUGAGCUUAACUUAGGAAUUGCAUUCGAUACUGGGAAGCUAGAGUAUGGGAGAGGAUGGUAGAAUUCCAGGUGUAGCGGUGAAAUGCGUAGAGAUCUGGAGGAAUACCGAUGGCGAAGGCAGCCAUCUGGCCUAAUACUGACGCUGAGGUACGAAAGCAUGGGGAGCAAACAGGAUUAGAUACCCUGGUAGUCCAUGCCCGUAAACGAUGUCUACUAGCCGUUGGGGCCUUUGAGGCUUUAGUGGCGCAGCUAACGCGAUAAGUAGACCGCCUGGGGAGUACGGUCGCAAGACUAAAACUCAAAUGAAUUGACGGGGGCCCGCACAAGCGGUGGAGCAUGUGGUUUAAUUCGAUGCAACGCGAAGAACCUUACCUGGUCUUGACAUAGUAAGAACUUUCCAGAGAUGGAUUGGUGCCUUCGGGAACUUAC
rnacentral:rRNA from 1 species